rnacentral:rRNA from 1 species
GACGAACGCUGGCGGCGUGCUUAACACAUGCAAGUCGAACGGAAAGGCCCUGCUUUUGUGGGGUGCUCGAGUGGCGAACGGGUGAGUAACACGUGAGUAACCUGCCCUUGUCUUUGGGAUAACUUCAGGAAAAAGGGGCUAAUACCGGAUAGGAGCUACUGCUGCAUGGUGGGGGUUGGAAAGUUUCGGCGGUGGGGGAUGGACUCGCGGCUUAUCAGCUUGUUGGUGGGGUAGUGGCUUACCAAGGUUUUGACGGGUAGCAGGCCUGAGAGGGUGACCGGCCACAUUGGGACUGAGAUACGGCCCAGACUCCUACGGGAGGCAGCAGUGGGGAAUAUUGCACAAUGGGCGGAAGCCUGAUGCAGCAACGCCGCGUGCGGGAUGACGGCCUUCGGGUUGUAAACCGCUUUCGCCUGUGACGAAGCGUGAGUGACGGUAAUGGGUAAAGAAGCACCGGCUAACUACGUG